AGUGCUCCUUGAGGCGUUGCAGCCCCCCUUUGUGGUGGUGCUGUGUCAUUAGGAGCAUAGAGAGAAGGUGGAGGUCUGCACUGGGACUCUGUCUGAAGAGAUCUCAGAGUGAAAUCGACACCGACAAA